rnacentral:rRNA from 1 species
AGUGAACGCUGGCGGUAGGCCUAACACAUGCAAGUCGAACGGCAGCACAGUAAGAGCUUGCUCUUACGGGUGGCGAGUGGCGGACGGGUGAGGAAUACAGCGGAAUCUACUUUUUCGUGGGGGAUAACGUAGGGAAACUUACGCUAAUACCGCAUACGACCUACGGGUGAAAGCAGGGGAUCUUCGCACCUUGCGGGAAUGAAUGAGCCGAUGUCGGAUUAGCUAGUUGGCGGGGUAAAGGCCCACCAAGGCGACGAUCCGUAGCUGGUCUGAGAGGAUGAUCAGCCACACUGGAACUGAGACACGGUCCAGACUCCUACGGGAGGCAGCAGUGGGGAAUAUUGGACAAUGGGCGCAAGCCUGAUCCAGCCAUACCGCGUGGGUGAAGAAGGCCUUCGGGUUGUAAAGCCCUUUUGUUGGGAAAGAAAAGCAGCAGGUUAAUACCCCGCUGUUCUGACGGUACCCAAAGAAUAAGCACCGGCUAACUUCGUG